GAUGAACGCUGGCGGCGUGCCUAAUACAUGCAAGUCGAGCGAACGGACGAGAAGCUUGCUCUUCUGACGUUAGCGGCGGACGGGUGAGUAACACGUGGAUAACCUACCUAUAAGACUGGGAUAACUUCGGGAAACCGGAGCUAAUACCGGAUAAUAUUUUGAACCGCAUGGUUCAAUAGUGAAAGACGGUUUUGCUGUCACUUAUAGAUGGAUCCGCGCUGCAUUAGCUAGUUGGUAAGGUAACGGCUUACCAAGGCAACGAUGCAUAGCCGACCUGAGAGGGUGAUCGGCCACACUGGAACUGAGACACGGUCCAGACUCCUACGGGAGGCAGCAGUAGGGAAUCUUCCGCAAUGGGCGAAAGCCUGACGGAGCAACGCCGCGUGAGUGAUGAAGGUCUUCGGAUCGUAAAACUCUGUUAUUAGGGAAGAACAAAUGUGUAAGUAACUGUGCACAUCUUGACGGUACCUAAUCAGAAAGCCACGGCUAACUACGUG
rnacentral:rRNA from 1 species